CGACUGUUUAAUUAAAACAAAGCACUUUGCAUAAGAUGACAAAUCAAAGUAUUGAGUGUGAAUUCUGCCCAAUGUUGGCUGGUUAACGAAGAUUCUUAGCCGACUAAUAUAAGCUAGGUUUUGAAGGAAACCCCAAUCAAUGGCGGCCUUACCGAUGAGGGUCCUAAGGUAGCGGAAUACCUUGGCCGUUA
rnacentral:ncRNA from 1 species